rnacentral:miRNA from 1 species
CCAACUAAGUUUGUUAUUGGUAUGAACUUUCGUGUGCAUGAACACUUCUUCAGAUACACAUGCAUGCACAGUUCUUCAGAUGUGUAUCUGAAGAAGUGUUCAUGCACACGAAAGCUCAUACCAAUAACAAACUUAGUUGG